GAUGAACGCUGGCGGCGUGCCUAAUACAUGCAAGUCGAGCGAACAGACGAGGAGCUUGCUCCUCUGACGUUAGCGGCGGACGGGUGAGUAACACGUGGAUAACCUACCUAUAAGACUGGGAUAACUUCGGGAAACCGGAGCUAAUACCGGAUAAUAUAUUGAACCGCAUGGUUCAAUAGUGAAAGACGGUUUUGCUGUCACUUAUAGAUGGAUCCGCGCCGCAUUAGCUAGUUGGUAAGGUAACGGCUUACCAAGGCAACGAUGCGUAGCCGACCUGAGAGGGUGAUCGGCCACACGGGAGCGGAGACGCGGUCCAGACUCCUACGGGAGGCAGCAGUAGGGAAUCUGCCGCAAUGGGCGAAAUCCUGACGGAGCAACGCCGCGUGAGUUAUGAAGGUCUUCGGAUCGUAAAACUCUGUUAUUAGGGAAGAACAAAUGUGUAAGUAACUAUGCACGUCUUGACGGUACCUAAUCAGAAAGCCACGGCUAACUACGUG
rnacentral:rRNA from 1 species